rnacentral:rRNA from 1 species
UGGGGAAUAUUGGGCAAUGGGCGAAAGCCUGACCCAGCCAUGCCGCGUGAGUGAUGAAGGCCCUUAGGGUUGUAAAGCUCUUUCAUUGGUGAAGAUAAUGACGGUAACCAAAGAAGAAGCCCCGGCUAACUUCGUGCCAGCAGCCGCGGUAAUACGAAGGGGGCAAGCGUUGUUCGGAUUUACUGGGCGUAAAGAGCGUGUAGGUGGAUAUAUAAGCUAGAGGUGAAAUCCCGGGGCUCAACUCCGGAACUGCCUUUAGAACUGUAUAUCUGGAGUCUUGGAGGGGAGUGCGGAAUUCCUAAUGUAGAGGUGAAAUUCGUAGAGAUUAGGAGGAACACCGGUGGCGAAGGCGGCACUCUGGACAAGUACUGACACUGAGACGCGAAAGCGUGGGGAGCAAACAGGAUUAGAUACCCCUGUAGUCC